rnacentral:rRNA from 1 species
CAUGCCCUUUGGUACGGGAUAGCCUCGGGAAACUGGGUGUAAUACCGUAUGUGCCCUUCGGGGGAAAGAUUUAUCGCCAAAGGAUUGGCCCGCGUUGGAUUAGGUAGUUGGUGGGGUAAUGGCCUACCAAGCCGACGAUCCAUAGCUGGUUUGAGAGGAUGAUCAGCCACACUGGGACUGAGACACGGCCCAGACUCCUACGGGAGGCAGCAGUGGGGAAUCUUAGACAAUGGGGGCAACCCUGAUCUAGCCAUGCCGCGUGAUCGAUGAAGGCCUUAGGGUUGUAAAGAUCUUUCAGUGGGGAAGAUAAUGACGGUACCCACAGAAGAAGCCCCGGCUAACUCCGUGCCAGCAGCCGCGGUAAUACGGAGGGGGCUAGCGUUAUUCGGAAUUACUGGGCGUAAAGCGCACGUAGGCGGAUUGACAAGUCAGAGGUGAAAUCCCGGGGCUCAACCCCGGAACGGCCUUUGAAACUGUUUGUCUUGAGGUCGAGAGAGGUGAGUGGAAUUCCGAGUGUAGAGGUGAAAUUCGUAGAUAUUCGGAGGA